CAAAACGAGCCGCCGCUAGGUCUCCAUCCCUUCUCCCCAGAUCCAGUUCUCUCCGAAAGCCGCCAGCCCGAUUUGAUGCCGAUCUGCAGCAAGUAGAUGGCCGCGGAGCUGGUGCAGACUGUGUCUAUGCUCUCAGCGCCCCUCAUCAGCAGCCGCUUUCCCUCGUCUUCCACGUCAUGUACCUCCGCCGCAAGCGUGCCGCCACCCCUCCCCGCCGUGAGUUAGUGACAGGAGAGAAAGACCCAAAUCGCGACGACAAGCACUUGGUGAGGUCCGCGUGCACCGGAUCCGUCGUCCCCCACCGCGGGAUGAGCCAGGGAAUCCCGACCGCCGUUUCUUCCCCCCUUCGCCAACCGAGGAUCUGCAUCCAUGAUUCCUUACAUGCCCGGUUCCACCACCAUGCCUCUACCAUUGACAAGGUUCUCUAACUCCCCUUAUCUUACUAGUUAGCACCGAUAUUAGCAUUAUAGUUUUCUCUAGAUGCUAUUAUUUUGACUAUCAGUUGAUUUGUCACUGCUAGUUGCAUCAUCAAAGAACGGGCUCUUGUUCAUCUAAGUCAAGACCAAGACAUGGUCAGAAAAAUCUUGGUAGCAAAACAAUCAUAGAGGUUAGAAAACCCAAGAGGAAAGAGAUUAUAAUAUUUUGGUUGGUUCAUGCCCACAAGUUGAGAAGAGAUAGAGGUCGCCACAGUAGAAAAAGAACAAAAAGAUAACAGAAUGGCCUUACAUUCAACCAAACAUCCCAUCCCCUGAUCCACUCCUAGAACAGAGCGCGGGUGCUAAAAGCAUUCAGUUCAUCAGAUAAGAUAAAAAAAAGAGGCAUCCGAACCACAAAAUAGAACCAUCCACUAAUAAUAUUCUGUUCAUAUAUGAUGCUAAUAAGGCUCUGAACAGAUCAACAAAAACAUCGGAUCUUUAUUUAACUUUACAUUUGAUGUCUGAAUCUUACUAUUUUGUUCCGGCAGAAUUUGCCUCUUCUCCACGCAUCAGAAUGUGUCGUUUUGUAUUAGUAGAACUCCAAAAAGGUGCAAAACUAGGAACAAAAGGUUAUUUUGGCAGUUUAUCUUACUAGACCUAUGGUGAUAAUAUCAGGUUUUACUUAAUGUUUUCCUUGCCAUUGGCACGUCGUGCGUUACGGCUUGCUACUGAAUGUGCACGUGUUGCAUUUGUUGAUUUAUCUGUUUACUAACUAGAUGUAGUCAUAGGUGUCAAAUAGUAUCUCAUAUUUUUUUCUCACUGGCUGAAUGUAGAAGAAAACAUGGAUUGCCAUCCGAAGUCCCAGCUGCAAUCGAGCCAAGCGCGCAACAACCUGUUGAAGAGAAGAAGGUACAUUUUUAAAUCUGGAUGUCCUUGCCAUUGUAACCUGUUGAUCCAAAUUCCGUGCACCUUUAAACAUGACAGUAUAUUGUUUUGAGAACCUAAGUUGCCUUCCUAGAAUCUAACUUGUGAGAUGGAAGUGGCCAAGAUUUUUUUGUACUUUGAACCUCUCACUUCUCAAAACAAAUAGAGGACUCCUCUUCCAUGUGAAUCCAACAUUGAUUUCGGUUGGGCAGCAUGUGCGGCCUCCUUUUGCUCUUUUCUCUUUAUAUUAUGAUGCUUUGUGCAAAACUGUGGGAGCUAGUGAAGAUUGGCGAGCCACCCAGAAGCGUAUAUAUUGAAUAGCAAUAAAAGACAGCUUUGCAAUUUAUAGAUGUUGAUAAAUAAGCAAUAAUGGAUGGUAACAAAGCCAUCGUUACAUGAUGUUGUAUACUAGUACAAAGCAUGGACAGGGCCAAAACUGCCGAAUUGCCGUGAUAAUAUGGCGGCGAUAUGGCCGGACAUGCCAGGAUACGCUUGUCCCCCAGUAUCCCCUGAUUUCUGGAAUAAAAGAAAAAAAACAAUGACAUGGCUGGGAUAUGUAGCAUAGAAUACGUUGGGGACACGGGAAGCCCAAUAAAAGCUCGAUGCAAACCCUAUUUUGCUGGGUCCCGCACACGCUCGCCACGAACUCCCAGGAGAACACAAUGCCGCCUGGAUUCGACCGUCACCGCCGCCCCCUGGACUCAACCGCUGCCACCGAUGGCAACCAUGCUCGAGCAGAUAACCCCAACAGCCUCUCCUCAAUCUCGUCAUCUCUUUGCUUGAUUUCUUGCUGUUCGGUUGCUGCUGCUUGCUUCCCCAUGUGGCCAUGCCUUUGCUGCUAGCUCUUGAGCUGUUUCUCACUUACAUGUUGGUACCUGCUGGCUGCUGCUACUAUUUUGACUGUUGCUUAGUGUUAGGGAGGAUGGCGUUUGGGAGCGCCACCGAUGGUAGCCAAUCGUUGAGCACUUGAAAAAG
rnacentral:lncRNA from 1 species